rnacentral:rRNA from 1 species
UCGGGAAUAUUGCCCAAUGGACGAAAGUCUGAGGCAGCAACGCCGCGUGCGCGAUGAAGGCCUUCGGGUCGUAAAGCGCUUUUCGGGUGGAUGAGAGCGGACAGUACACCCGGAAUCAGGUACGGCUAACUACGUGCCAGCAGCCGCGGUAAAACGUAGGUACCGAGCGUUAUCCGGAUUUACUGGGCGUAAAGCGCGUUCAGGCGGUGGGGCAAGUCGGGCAUGAAAUCUCUCGGCUCAACCGGGAGAGGUUGUCCGAUACUGCGCUACUAGAGGGCAGUAGAGGGUGGUGGAAUUCCGGGUGUAGUGGUGAAAUGCGUAGAGAUCCGGAGGAACACCAGUGGCGAAAGCGGCCACCUGGACUGCACCUGACGCUGAAACGCGAAAGCUAGGGGAGCGAAC